UAUGUGAUCGUCUCUCGCAUAUCAAUAGCGGAGGAAAAGAAACUAACAAGGAUUCCCCUAGUAACGGCGAGUGAAGCGGGAAGAGCUCAAAUUUGAAAUCCUAAAGGGUUUCCCUUUACGAAUUGUAGUUUAAAGAAGUGUUUUCUGUUGAGGUUUUGGUAAAAGUUCUUUGGAAUAGGACAUCAUAGAGGGUGAGAAUCCCGUAUUUGACCUUUACUUUCAACUUUGUGAUACACUUUCAAAGAGUCGGAUUGUUUGGGAAUGCAGUCCAAAAUGGGUGGUAAAUUUCAUCUAAAGCUAAAUAUUGGCGAGGAGACCGAUAGCGAACAAGUACCGUGAGGGAAAGAUGAAAAGAACUUUGAAAAGAGAGUUAAACAGUACGUGAAAUUGUCAAAAGGGAAGCGUUUGACACCAGUGUUGUUUUUCUGAAAAUCAAUUAAAGAACUGUUUAUGCUAAGUUGUUUAGACUUUAUCAGCUAUACUGCUUAGUUUUGAGCUUUUCUUUAAUGCACUUUUCAGUUAACAAGUCAACAUCAAUUUCUUUUGCUGUAAAAAAGCUUGAGGAAGGUGGCUUGAGAUUCGUCUUAAGUGUUUAUAGCCUCUUGCCUAUGCAGUCGGAGAGAUUGAGGUCUGCAGCGUAGAUCCUUUCGGGGCUAAAUGCAUUUGUGCUAAGUUAUAGCAUUUUAUAGACAACUUGUUGACUAUGAUUUGUCUUGUAGCUUACUCGCUUAAUGUUAUUUUACCUACGCUUAGGAUGUUGAGUAGUGACAUACGCAC
rnacentral:rRNA from 1 species